rnacentral:lncRNA from 1 species
ACAUAAAAUUGAGAAUGGAAAUGGGGAAUGUGUCAAAGAGACAACAACCCGACCAUAGAAAAAACAACAGCAGAAGGUCACUAACAGGUCUUCAAUGUAGCGAGACAUUCCCGCACCCGGAGGCGUCCUUCAGCUGGCCCCUCAACAAAUAUAUACUAGUUCAGUGAUAAUGAACGCCAUACUAAUUUCCGAAUUGUACACAAGAAACUAAAAUUAAAAAAAUACAAGACUAACAAAGGCCAGAGGCUCCUGACUUGGGACAGGCGCAAAAAUGCGGCGGGGUUAAACAUGUUUAUGAGAUCUCAACCCUCCCCCUAUACCUCUAGCCAAUGUAGAAAAGUAAAUGCAUAACAAUACGCACAUUUAAAAUUCAAUUCAAGAGAAGUCCGAG